rnacentral:lncRNA from 1 species
UUCAUGUGACUCACAAGACCUCACAUCCAUACAAUGAGUGGGAGAUAGUGAAGUUAGCAAAAGAAUCUGGGUUAUAUCUGGUUGAGGAAGCAUCAUUUUCAACGAGGGAUUAUCCCGGUUAUAUGAACAAGAGAGGAAGUGGGAAGACAGGGGAUGUGUAAUAUUGCAUGGGGUAAUCAAGUAAGUCUAAACAGAAUUGAUCAAGAUAUGAACUGUCGUAAUCAAAUUGACUGUCGAUUUGGACAACACAUUGUGCAGUAAGAGGAUGAUUAGAAGCAAAUGAAAUAACAUCUUAUUCAAGGUUUAUAGUGCCUCGAACAUUUUCACAUUUUUAGCAAAUCGCUAUCCAAAGUGUUGGUGGGAUCAUUCCCCAACACAAAGGGUUUUUGAUUGUUCAAAAGUGCAUUAGCACUUCAAAGUGCACUCCAAUUCAGGCCUUUGUGCAAGGUUUCUCCAUAUUGAUCUAAACUGAAAAUAGCAAAAUAAAAUGUUGCAACAUGAAUUUUUCUCACAUUGUUUUGUUGAAGUGAAGAAGGGUCAUAAUAAUCGGAUCGUUGACAUUUUUCCAGGGUGCAUCAGCAUUUGGUGAGGGGAUUCUUUGCCUGUGCAUGUAAAAUGCUGCAAGUAAAUGGAGAAGUUCAUGUGACUCACAAGACCUCACAUCCAUACAAUGAGUGGGAGAUAGUGAAGUUAGCAAAAGAAUCUGGGUUAUAUCUGGUUGAGGAAGCAUCAUUUUCAACAAGGGAUUAUCCCGGUUAUAUGAACAAGAGAGGAAGUGGGAAGAAAUGCAACCAAACAUUUCAUGUUGGACGGUGUAGCACCUACAAAUUUGCCAAGCUGCCGCUUCAGGAAUUUUCGUUCACCACAUUAUAUGAUUCUUAAUAGCAAAUGAUUG